UGACAGUUAGAUCUUGGAACUGAGUCCAGCAGCACUGAGGUCAGAGAGAUGGCUAAAGCUAAAAGCAAACUGGAUGCUGUUCAGGAGGUUCUCCUUUGUCAUUUUUAUCUCCAAAUAGAAGACCUCUGUUUUCCCAGAAGAUUAAAUAGUAGAAAAGAAGUAGCCCAAUCUCAGCCACAAUUUGAGUAGCAAGAGGACAUACCAUGCCUUUUACAGAUAUUUAUAGGACAAUUUCCCUCCUGAGAGUGCCCAAGCAUGGGGGAUGGUGAGGAAGAUGACUGAAGGAGAAAGCAGGAAAAGGGGGUGUCUGCAUGUAUGAGGAUUGGAAGCCCUGGACAACUUUCAGGAAGACAGUUCUGGUCUGUAGCAAUUAACACAUGGUCAUCCUCAGAAAAAGGUCCUCUCAAUUAUUUCCCAGAGAUACCCAUAACUUAAAAUGCAGGAACCAAGAGAUUUGAGCCUAGACAUUUGGAUGAAAAGCGAUUUCCACCUGGAGAAAGUCACUGCCCUUCUGUGCAGAGGUAGGUGCCCUGAUACUUGCCUGACAGCUGGAAAGCGUGGCUCAGAAGAGGUAGGUGGGAGAAGAGGCCACAUAGUAUCUCCCUGGGCCUCCUGGUGAAAAACUUGUGUGUGAUUUUUCAGGCCUGACCACAAACUUGGGGAAAGCUGACCCCUACCCCAGACUUGGGGCACAGCCCAUGCGUGGCAGUCUCUGGAGGGAGCUCUCAAGGUCUCAGGUCUCUCUGGCUGGUCGUAGUCAUCACAUAUUUGCAUUCCUAGCCCCUGAGCCUUCAUUCCUGGGUUUAUCAGAAGCCUUGGGGAGAGGUGUUCUUUAGGCGCCUCUGCUGAGGCCUUCUUUGGGUGGGGCAGGGAAGGGAGAGAAAUCUUGAAGCCGCUUUUCCCCACAAUGACUCAGAAUCUAGUACUUCCACUCCUAGCCUUCCCCCUCCCUUGCUCUCGGCCCCAGAGUCCAUAAAACUUCCAGAGCCUUUUGUUCAGGGCUCUGUCAGCAGUGAGACCACCCCAACCCGACAUUCCUGCUGAUCUACUUGACCCUGGGCCCCUGUGUGUUCCAUGGGGGAAAUGGAACAGGGAGAGUCCACGCUUUCUCUGGUUUCAGAUACUUGCUUAUACCAUUGCAGGACAUGACUGAAAGCUUGACUCUUUUGUUUUGGGCUUGUUGCCUUAAUUGACUAUUGUGACACCUGGCAGCUCAGCGCUCCCUCUCCCAGUUCAACUGAGCUCCUGACAGAGGGACUCCACCUUCAACUUGCCAGGGACAGGCACUCAAAGGACGGGCUUCAUUUCUGUUGAAGGCUCUGGCUUCUCCUAAUAUGUUUCUAAUUCAUUUCUAGAUUCAGAUCUCUCUCUACCUCUCCAUAUCACACAUUCACAAACAAUAACUGCCUGAGGACCAGGAGAAGCACAGGGCCUGCCUCGUUAUUCCUCCCCUGCAUGCUGACUCUUCCACUGGGGCUGGGCAGAGUCAGCACAUGCAGGAGGGGAAUCAUGAGCCAGGCCCUGGCCAGAUCCAGAUUUCUAGACAUGAGAACUACCCAAACCCCAGAGACCCAGUUCUUCCAUCUACUUUACUGAGGAGGAACCAGAGAGUCUGAAAAGUAAGUGACUUGGCCAAGGUCACCCAACUGGAACCCAGGGCCUAACCUUUGGGUUCAAACUCUGAUCAUGACCAGACUGCCUCCUUGAAUCUUCUUUCUACUUUCCCGGUACAGUUUCUGUGCAGAGCUGAGUCCUUGGGUGCCCAGGACUACACUAAGCCCUCUCAAGUCAGUACUUUCUAGGAGGCUGUAGCCUAACUGGAGAGAGAGGUGAGACCAGGGGUUCUCAGACUUGAGCAGAUGUUAGAAUCAGCUGGUGGGCUAGUUAAAACACAGAUCUGCUGGCCCCACCCCAGGUUGCUGAUUCAGUAGGCCUGGGAUGGGGUCUGAGAAUUUGUACUUCUAACAAGUUUCCAAGUAUGGCUGAUAAGAACCACUGGACUUAACCAUAAACAACCAAAAGUAACAGAGGCAGUGAAUGGAAACCGAGCAAAGGCAGGUAGAGAAAGGAGAGAAAUGAGGGUGACAUUGUUUCUAAGGGCAGGAAAUGAACUCCAGGGGCUGGUCCUUGGGAGGUCCUUCUCUUCCCUCUACCUUCAUCUACCCUGACUUCGGGUGUAUCUAGAAGUUUCACAGUAGCAUAUAAAUUCCCCCUCUCUGCUGGAGGGCUCUGGCCAACAGGUGAAGCCAAAACCAUCACCUGUAGGAGGUUACUUAGAGCUGGCUCCUGUCCCAACACCCUCCUCUCGGCUUCCCCGUUCACAUCGCUGCAGCCGGCACAGCUGCCUGCCUCCCAUGGAGCCUGGGGGCACCUGUCCUAAAGGCUCAAGGAUGAAGAGUCGCGGAGGGUGGUUGUGGCCAUCUCACCCACCUCUCCCUUGAUUCCUCCAUGUACUCACACAAGCCCUGGAAGGCCAAGGACACUGACACUCAGAAAGCUAAGGGAGUGGGUACAUUACAAAAGGAUUGGGAGAGGGGGAGUGGUAAAAACUCCACAGCUCACAUUCAUUGACUCAGCUCAUCUUUCAAGGCCCCAGUUCUCCUGAGUCAUCAGUGAGCAUGGCCUUGCUUUCAUAGUCACUAAGGCUGAAUGUGGGUCAUUGAGAUCUAAACUGGUGUUUAAAUGUAACCGCACAGAGGUGAGUCAGACACACACAAGGAGAAAAAGAGCAAAAGAGAGAGAGAAGAAAGAAGGAGACUUAGCUCUCUCUUAAGUGGGGGUGAAAAUCCAGGAGCGAAUCUGAAAUGAUCCACCUCUCCAAAUCCGUCCACUGUUUAAUUGGCUCCAUGUAGCUAUAGGGAAAUUGAGGCAUAACUGCUGUGUCCACUAGCCCAAAGCUGUUCCAGGGACAGCAGCAACCUCAGGAGGAGGCCAGAGAUUGGCCAAUGGAAAGGCAGAAAGCAGGGACUCUCCACCCAGGUGGAGGCACCACAGGGCCCGUGGAGGGAAUGGACAGCUGGCAUUACGGUCCCCCUACCUUUUCCCAAGACUCUUCCAGCUGACCUACUAAGGCUGCCCCUUGACCUUGAGUACAAAUGGCACUCAUGCCCAAACAGCCGCUUGACCAGAGCCAACCGACAACCUCCUGUGAGUUUCUCAGCCCCAGGCUGGAUCUGCAGGUAAGAGACAGACAUUAUGUUGAGGCAAAUGUAACCCAUGCCAAGCAGUGUGUAGAGAUUUCUACCUAGCUUUAUUGUUGUGAACUCCAGACAAGAGACUUAGAAACCAUGUAUGAUUUUCUACAUCAAAAGCCUGAGUCUGAGGCUUAGGGGUCUCUCAUCCCUUUUCCAACUCCCUUUGUGUGUUGCGGGGUGGGGGGUGGGGCGGAAUGGAGAGUCUGCCAUGGAGUCCCCACCUCUGUCCCUUCCAGAAGAGCCUGUAUAUGGCUAGUGGGCAUUUCCCUCCCUGGAGAGGAGGUGGGGGAGGCCCUUCAUGUGCUUCCUGGAGCCACAAGGAAAGAGGAGGCUGCUGAUUCACCAGCAGCUGCUUCCUGGAAUGGCAGUUCCGGGCUGGCAGGCAAACAGUAUUUUUCCAAGGUGAUCUAGGGCUGUUACAACAUUCCCGCUCUGCCCCCAUCAGACCUUCCUGUAAGUCAAACCAGAAAGUUACCCAGACCACGCAUUCCUGAGCAGUCAAGCACAAGAUUCCAGACACAGUGUUUCCAACAUGUCUCGCUAUCUCUCCUGGGACCUGGGAUCCAGUCAUCCCCACAGCCCCUGUGCUUCCUCAGCCAAGGCCAUGCAUUUGUCGCACUGGCCAUGGAGUCACAUGGAAGCCACUGUGUGGCUCCAAGUCAGCUGGGAGGGGAAGGCCUGCCCUGAUUCCCCUAAUGGUCUGCUGAGAAAGAGCAGAGCCCUGAGCUAGCUUUGUCCCUGCGUUUCACAAAGCCACUUUCUCUGGUCCUGCCCAGCUUUCUGAGACAGAAAGCUACCAUGUCCCAGACUGAAUCAGUCUCACUUUUUUUUUUUUUUUCCCCAGAAAUAAGGCACAGGUUUGGAAGUGCCUCUGUUUGACCCUGGUGUUUGGUUCUCUCCCUCACAUACAGGGAACAUGAAGGAGAACCCACCUCUGCUGCUUUUGAAGUGCAGUGGCUUUCACUUGGAAUGGACAUCUUUACGGGUGGCACUGGGGGCUGUGCAGAGAGGACCAGGGAGAAAUUCCAGACUUCUCAGGUUCUGCCUCUGAGACAGACAGUGGUGGGAAACACAAACAAUAAAAAUCCUUGGUUCCACUUUCCUCAUCCCUUCCGGGCAAAUGGAAUCAAAUGAGGGUGAGGGUGGCUGGGGAAUAAAGCAGGGUGAGUGAAGAGAUGGGGGACUGCUCUUAGAAGCAGUGUCUGAACUCCACCCCCUCCAGGAUGAACUGGAAAGUGCUUCUUCUCCUCCCUCCCUUGACUGAUGGCUAUGGGAACUUUAGAUGGGGAAAUACGGAUAUACUGAUCUCUCAACCAAAUGUAAUUUGUAUUAAGAAUUAAGAGUUCACAAGUUAUUCUCUGUCUCUCUCUCUUUUUUUUUUUUUAAAGAAACAGCCUUGCCCUGUCACCCAGGCUGGAGUGCUGUGGUGCUAUCAUAGCUCACUGCAGCCUCAAAAUCCUGGGCUUAAGUGAUUCUCCCACCUCAGCCUCCUGAGCAGCUAGUACUACAGGCACACACUACCAUAACUGACCAAUUUUUCUGUUUUCUGAAGAGAUGAGGUUUCGCUCUGUUGACUAGACUGAUGUCAAAUUCUUGGCCUAACGUGAUUUUCUCCCUGGGCCUCCCAAAGUGCUGAGAUUAGGAGUGUGAGCCAAUGCACCCAGCCAACUUAUCCUUUUUUAUCUUCAUCACAAUCUUAUGAGUACCAUUGUGUCUUGAAUCCAGCUUGGCCAUAAGGAAAUGGGGCGAGACUUUGUCAUGUAUGUCGCUGAAGUUCAGCUAUGCAAAAAUGUUCACCUAUCCUUGAUCAACCAGUCCAGGAACCAUCAAAGAAGAAAAUGAGAUUCGACUUAGAAGACCUGUUCUUUAUAAACCCCUGCACAGCCCUAAUGAUCAACACCACUUCCAGUGCUCAUAAAUUACUGCUUCAAUAAUCCUUUAUUUACUUUGGGCUACGAUUCAUUUUUAUCGGUCAAAUGACUACUAGACUAUCCUGGUUUCUAAUUUGAA
rnacentral:lncRNA from 1 species